rnacentral:rRNA from 1 species
GAAUGUAUGAGAAUACUACUUGGAUAACCGUAGUAAUUCUAGAGCUAAUACAUGCAACGACGCCCGACCGUUUCACUACGGAAGGGCUGUAUUUAUUGGAUACCAAAACCAUCCUUCCCUCGGGAAGUUUUGUUUGAUGAUUCACAAUAACUGAUCGGAUCGCCACUGUGGUGGCGACAGGUCAUUCAACAUUCUGCCCUAUCAGCUUUCGAUGGUUGUGUAGUGGACAACCAUGGCCAUAACGGGUAACGGAGAAUCAGGGUUCGAUUCCGGAGAAGGAGCUUGAGAAUUGGCUACUACAUCUAAGGAAGGCAGCAGGCGGGCAAAUUACCCAAUCCCGAUUCGGGGAGGUAGUGACAAAAAAUAACAAUACCGGGCCUUUUUGGGCUUGGUAAUUGGAAUGAGGGAGAGUUAAACGGACCAUCGAGUAUCCAUUGGAGGGCAAGUCUGGUGCCAGCAGCUGCGGUAAUACCAGCUCCAAUAGCGUAUAUUAAAGUUGUUGCAGUUAAAAAGCUCGUAGUUGGACUUGUGUGCGCUGUCCGCGGGUGGCCUGCGCCCAAAAGGGCGUUUCGGUUCGGCCCCGGUGGCGCCUUGAAAUCUGCAGCUGGGGGGACGUUGGCCUUAACUGGUCGGCGACCGCACGCCGGCCGCUCGGUUACUGUGAGAAAAUUAGAGUGUUCAAGGCAGGCAUUGGGUGCAAUUGAAUACAUUAGCAUGGAAUAAUAAAAUAUGGCUCCUGCCGUAUUUUGUUGGUUUUGACUGGUGGGAGUAAUGAUUGAUAGGGACGGUUGGGGGUGCUAGUAUUGAGCGGCCAGAGGUGAAAUUCAUGGAUUCGCUCAAGACUAACUUAUGCGAAAGCAUUCACCAAGGACGUCCUCUUUAAUCAAGAACGAAAGUUGGGGGAUCGAAGACGAUCAGAUACCGUCGUAGUCUCAACCAUAAACUAUGUCGACUUGGGAUCGGCGGUAGUUUUUUUCAUUAAGACACUGACGGGACCACGGGAGAAAUCAAAGUGUCUGGACUCUGGGGGAAGUAUGGUCGCAAGGCUGAAACUUGAAGGAAUUGACGGAAGGGCACCACCAGGAGUGGAGCCUGCGGCUUAAUUUGACCCAACACGGGGAAACUUACCAGGUCCAGAGAUGUAGAGGAUUGACAGAUUGAAGCUCUUUCUUGAUCACUUCGGUGGUGGUGCAUGGCCGUUCUUAGUUGGUGGAGUGAUUUGUCUGGUUAAUUCCGUUAACGAACGAGACCUCAGCCUGCUAGUGUAGUCGGCUGGAUUGCCUUUGGCGAUCCGUGAUUUCGACUUCUUAGA